AGAGUUUGAUCCUGGCUCAGGAUGAACGCUGGCGGCGUGCUUAACACAUGCAAGUCGAACGAAGCACUUUGGACAGAUUCUUCGGAUGAAGUCCCUGGUGACUGAGUGGCGGACGGGUGAGUAACGCGUGGGUAACCUGCCUCAUACAGGGGGAUAACAGUUAGAAAUGGCUGCUAAUACCGCAUAAGCGCACGGUACUGCAUGGUACAGUGUGAAAAAUUCCGGUGGUAUGAGAUGGACCCGCGUUGGAUUAGCUAGUUGGCAGGGUAACGGCCUACCAAGGCGACGAUCCAUAGCCGGCCUGAGAGGGUGGACGGCCACAUUGGGACUGAGACACGGCCCAGACUCCUACGGGAGGCAGCAGUGGGGAAUAUUGCACAAUGGGGGAAACCCUGAUGCAGCGACGCCGCGUGAGCGAAGAAGUAUUUCGGUAUGUAAAGCUCUAUCAGCAGGGAAGAAAAUGACGGUACCUGACUAAGAAGCCCCGGCUAACUACGUGCCAGCAGCCGCGGUAAUACGUA
rnacentral:rRNA from 1 species